rnacentral:rRNA from 1 species
UACAGAGGUCUCAAGCGUUGUUCGGAUUCAUUGGGCGUAAAGGGUGUGUAGGUGGCGCGCUAAGUCGGGUGUGAAAAUUUCGGAGCUUAACUCCGAAACUGCAUUCGAUACUGGCGUGCUUGAGGACUGGAGAGGAGACUGGAAUUCAUGGUGUAGCAGUGAAAUGCGUAGAGAUCAUGAGGAAGACCAGUGGCGAAGGCGGGUCUCUGGACAGUUCCUGACACUGAGGCACGAAGGUCAGGGGAGCAAACGGG